ensembl:snoRNA small nucleolar RNA SNORA84
GCCCUGUGGUUGCUGGGGGCUGUUGUUCAGGUACAGCACUCCAGUGGGUACAAUGGGCCACAGCAAUCCUGUGAUUUUUGCAUGGCAUCUGUGUUUCCUCAGCAGCUGCCAUAGCCCGGUCACUGGUACAUGG